rnacentral:tRNA from 1 species
CAAGUUAGAUCUUGAAUAAGAGUUUUAUUUACAUUAAAAUUAUAGUUAAUUUCAAUUAACUUAACUUGA